rnacentral:rRNA from 1 species
ACCUCGGAUCAGGUGGGGAUACCCGCUGAACUUAAGCAUAUCAAUAAGCGGAGGAAAAGAAACCAACAGGGAUUGCCUCAGUAACGGCGAGUGAAGCGGCAACAGCUCAAAUUUGAAAUCUGGCGUCUUCGGCGUCCGAGUUGUAAUUUGUAGAGGAUGCUUCUGGGCAGCCACCGGUCUAAGUGCCUUGGAACAGGCCGUCAUAGAGGGUGAGAAUCCCGUAUGUGACCGGAAGGGCACCCUCCACGUAGCUCCUUCGAAGAGUCGAGUUGUUUGGGAAUGCAGCUCAAAAUGGGAGGUAAAUUUCUUCUAAAGCUAAAUACCGGCCAGAGACCGAUAGCGCACAAGUAGAGUGAUCGAAAGAUGAAAAGCACUUUGGAAAGAGAGUUAAAAAGCACGUGAAAUUGUUGAAAGGGAAGCGCUUGCAACCAGACUUGCCUGCGGUGUUCCGCCGGUCUUCUGACCGGUUCAUUCGCCGCCUGCAGGCCAGCAUCGUUUGGGGCCGCCGGAUAAAAGCGUCGGGAAUGUGGCUCCCCUCGGGGAGUGUUAUAGCCCGGCGUGCAAUACGGCGCGUCCCGAGCGAGGUCCGCGCUUCGGCUAGGAUGCUGGCGUAAUGGUUGUAAGCGGCCCGUCUUGAAACACGGACCAAGGAGUCUAACAUCUAUGCGAGUGUUCGGGUGUCAAACCCCUACGCGUAAUGAAAGUGAACGGAGGUGGGAACUUUUUGUGCACCAUCGACCGAUCCUGAUGUCUUCGGAUGGAUUUGAGUAAGAGCAUAGCUGUUGGGACCCGAAAGAUGGUGAACUAUGCCUGAAUAGGGUGAAGCCAGAGGAAACUCUGGUGGAGGCUCGCAGCGGUUCUGACGUGCAAAUCGAUCGUCAAAUUUGGGUAUAGGGGCGAAAGACUAAUCGAACCAUCUAGUAGCUGGUUCCUGCCGAAG